AGAGACGAGCUGAGGACGAGGGGGAGCCAUCUCCAAACAGGAACUCCUAAACAGGGUGGGGGGCGCGGACGCAGGCCAGUGGAGACCCCCGCCACCUGUCCCACCUCGACCAACCGUGCGCCUGUGCAGGGCACCCCUACAGGUUUUAGAAUGGGGGCACCUAUGGAAUAUGGCAGGCUGCGAGAAGCUGGGCCCGCCAAGGUGGUCCCAAGGAGGAGUGGGGGGUUGCGGAAAGGAGGAUGAGAGCCAGCCACAAGGCUGGAAAAGGAGUGGGCACCGCAGAGGAGGGAAAAAGAAUCUUGACACUGUCACCGCCAGGGAUCUAGGGGGGCCUCUUACCUUGGAGAAUAACAAUCUCUGAUGUCUGCUAAUUACAGAAAUACUUUCAGAGCUCUUUCAUUCAUCCUGACAAUGGCCAGAGAAGGUAGGUAUUGGUAGCCUUAUUUUAGAGAUGGGGAAACUGAGGCUGAGAGUAGGUAAGUAAGCUGUCCAAGGGCACUCAGCUAACAAAGGACAGAAGCAAGCCUCCUCACUGUCUACCUCCAAAACCUACACUGGCUUGGAGUUGCUGUCCUGGCCCUCCACUGCCCAUCUCAUGUAGGACGGGAGAGUAUGGGGGGCUGGGGUCCCAUCUAUAGCCUGAAUUUGAGACUUUCAGUUGCUCCUCUCAUUCCCCAUUUAAUUUGUGGGGAUCCCCAACUGACCCCUCCCUACACUUCCAGGGCACUGAGGAGGGAGGGCCCGCUGAAGGAGCCCCGAAUUAUCUCUAGGCCAGGUCAGGAGCCAUUAGUGUCCCCUCCCCUGACAGCAUCCUCCUCCUUCUGCCCUCACAUUCAGAGCCACUGACAAGACUUUAAGCAAGAGACGGAGAGUUAACAUCUAAUCUGGAGGAAGACCCUGGAAGGAGCCAGCCCCUUCCCCCAGGCUGACCUGGUUUAAGCCUUUCUUCUGCCAAGGUCACCAGCACCCCAGAUGGGUGAGAGAUGUGAUCACUGGUUUCGUGGCCUGACCAAGGACCUCCAAGAUUCUGUGGCAGAUGAGAAAUGCCUUGGUCCUUGGGCUGCUUGCAGCCUAGCGAGGGACAGACUUUUAACCUCUCUAGGAGAGUGGCUGCUUCAAGUCAUCCUAUGGGACCAGCUGUUCAUGCUUCCUCUUGCCCAGAACUACUUCUGUGAGAGGAAAAGAGAAGGGUAGGAGCGUGCCCUGCAGCUGGAAACCCAAGCCAGGCGGGGAGCCACGAAUGCAGUAGUUAUCAGACUGUAUCUUCAAUCCUGGGGGCUUCUCAAGCCAUUGCCAGCCACUCUUCACCCAAGGCCUGGUGGAAUAAAGCUGGGCUAAGUAACACCUCUUCUGUGGAAAAUUAUUGUUUCUGCAAGCCUAUAUUCAUUCUCCCUCUCUCUCAUGCUGAUCAGAACUGUGAGUUACAAAAAAAAUGAGAAGAUGGAAUCAAUUAUUACGUAGUAAAUUUCAUUUGCUUGGCAGGAGGUAUCUUUCCCAUCUUGGCCCACAGAGGAGGAAAUCCUAGAAGGGAUGACUGAAGCUUGGGACUAACACAUUGGUGGAUCUGUGCUACCCCCUGCUGGCCGUAGACGGUAUGACAGCCAAGAUAGGGCAAGGCUUCGAGGGGCGAUGGAUGGAUUCACCGCAGCGGCGACAUUUCUGGACUGUUGUCACCUUCAGUGCAGUCACUGGGAAUAUUCAGAACCCAGGUGAUUGAUAAGGUUUUCCCAGGGAUCUCUUCUCUCCCCUUCACCAUUACUCAGUAGGAGCUUCCUUAAAAACGGAAAACGAGAGGCCGGGCGCGGUGGCUCACGCCUGUAAUCCCAGCACUUUGGGAGGCGGAGGCGGGCGGAUCACGAGGUCAGGAGAUCGAGACCAUCCUGGCUAACACAACCCCGUCUCUACUUAAAAUACAAAAAAUUAGCCGGGCGUGGUGGCACGCGCCUGUAGUUCCAGCUACUCAGG
ensembl:lncRNA FMNL1-DT FMNL1 divergent transcript